rnacentral:lncRNA from 1 species
CAAUUUGAUUUUUUUGUUUUGUUUUUUGAAACAGGGUCUUUCUAUCUAGUUCAGGCUACCUUGAACUCGCUAUGUAGCCCAGGCUGGCUUUGAACUCACAGCAGUCCUCCUGCCUCGGCCUCCCAAGUGCUGGGAUUGCAGGGUUUCCCUAUAUUUGGCAUGGCUGGCUUUGGAUCCCUGGGUUUGAGUGACCCCUGCCUCAGCCACUUGAAGAGUUGGACUUGCAGCUGACAGGCCUGAGCGCGGUUUUGCAGUGGACACAUGUGGCUUCCUUGUGGCCUGCCUUUGCGGAUGACCUCCUUUGCCUACCUUUCCAGAGCUGUCUUCGUCUUCCUGUUGUUGAGGGCCUAAGGACAGAAGCCUGAAGGCCGGAUGACCUAGCAGAGGCAGGUGCAGCCGAUGCACUGAGCCUGUCCCAGCCUGCUGCCUGGUCCCCGAACUGGACACUUCUGAGGGGCACAAAAAGUGGCUCCAGACUCUCUGGUGCUAAAUAUAAAAUGAAAAGAUACAUCACCCGAUGAAACCAGCCAGGAGCCUCCCAGGCAGAGCAGAGGAGCCAAGGAGGAGGCCCAGGAAAAGCCACAGAGCCGCCUGUGAAGAGAUGGAAGGCUUUCCACCCACAUCUGCGCCGCUGGGUGCACCGGGACCACUCUGAGCCUCAAUCUUCCCUGUGCAGAAGGGAUUGAACUCUGGACCUUGUGGUGGUGAGGCAGGCGGCGGAACCACUGAGGCGUGUCUGUUCAUUUCAGUUGCCAAGAUAUGGACAAAUAAUUUGAAUGAACAUUUUUCAAAAGGAGAAAGCCACAUGACCAACAAAUUUAUGAAAAUAGCUGCCAGAGAAAUGCACAUGAAAACCACAGUGAGAUAUUAUCUCACCGCAGUGAGAAUGGCUGUUAUCAAAAGGACAAAAAGAAGAAUGCUGGGGAGUAUGUGGCGAAGGAGAACUCUCACAGGUGGUCAGUGGGGAGAUCCAGUAGCACAGCUCAAAGGCCCCUCCAACAGCAAAGACAGAGCUGUCAUAGGAUUCACUGCCCUCCUUCCGGGCACUCACUCCUGGGAUAGGGCCAGCACACAGGCAGGCCCCUUGUCCGGUAUAUUGUGGUGCUGCUCAUAACGGCUAAGACAGCAAGUCAACCCAGAUGCCACGGACAGCAGGGUGGGUGGAUGGUGGAUUUCAGCCUCUGCUCCAGG